AUGGUUAACUUGCCAUCAGUGCAACAACAUGAUCAUACAAAGGAAAAAGGAUGGACAAUGCCAGAGCUCGGAUGGGCUAAGGUCAAUGUUGAUGGAAGUUUUUUGGAGGAAAAUAGGAGUGGAGCCUGGGGAGCUGUGAUUCGAGAUCAUGAUGGAAGAAUUAUAUUAUCAGCUUGGGAUUAUAUUCCGCGGUGCAAUGGAGCGGACUGCGCGGAAGCCAUGGCUUGCCUAGAAGGACUACGGAUGGCAAUGUCGGGGACGGAUCUACCCUUAAUCAUUGAGACGGAUUGCAGCUCGGUGACAAAGGCGCUUAUCCUCUCGUCUAUUGAUAGAUCGGAGGUUGCAACAAUUGUAAAGGAGUUUCAAACCAUGAAAGGGAACAGAGAAGUAAAAGUCUGCAAAGUAGAUAGAAGGGACAAUAGGUUAGCUCAUAGUCUUGCCCAGUUGGGGCGUAGAGAGUUGCGUGGUGAGGUUAUGCAAGGCACAGUGCCAACCUGCGUGUUGAGAGACGCCUUGCACGAUUGUACGAACUAUGUAUUCUCUACUUAA
rnacentral:rRNA from 1 species